rnacentral:rRNA from 1 species
GACGAACGCUGGCGGCGUGCUUAACACAUGCAAGUCGAGCGGAAAGGCCCUUCGGGGUACUCGAGCGGCGAACGGGUGAGUAACACGUGAGUAACCUGCCCUUGGCUCUGGGAUAAGCCCGGGAAACUGGGUCUAAUACCGGAUAUGACCAUCAGAUGCAUGUCUUGGUGGUGGAAAGAUUUUUCGGCUGGGGAUGGGCUCGCGGUCUAUCAGCUUGUUGGUGGGGUGAGGCCUACCAAGGCGACGACGGGUAGCCGGCCUGAGAGGGUGACCGGCCACACUGGGACUGAGACACGGCCCAGACUCCUACGGGAGGCAGCAGUGGGGAAUAUUGCGCAAUGGGCGGAAGCCUGACGCAGCGACGCCGCGUGGGGAUGAA